rnacentral:tRNA from 1 species
AGAGGUGUGGCUCAGGUGGUAGAGUGCCUGCCUAGCAAGCACAAAGCCCUGAGUUCAGACCUCAGUAUUACCA